rnacentral:lncRNA from 1 species
AUGGAAGGAAUGGAAUGGGAAGAAGGAAUGAAGGAAGAGGAGAGGAAGGAAGGAGGAAUGAAGGAAGAGGAGUGGAAGGAAGAAGGAAUGAAGGAAGGAAGAAGGAAUGAAGGAAGGAAGGAAGGAGGAAGGAAGGAAGGAAGGAAGGAAGGAAGGAGGAAGGAAGGGAAGGAAGGAAGGAAGGAAGGAAGGGAGGAAGGAAGAAGGAAGGAAGGAAGGAAGGAAGAAGGAAGGAAGGAAGGAAGGAAGGAAGAAGGAAGGAAGGAAGGAAGGAAGGAAGGAAGGAAGGAAGGGAAAGGAAGGAAGGAAGGAAGGAAGGAGGAAGGAAGGAGGAAGGAAGGAAGAAGGAAGGAAGGAGGAAAGGAAGGAAAAGGAAGGAAGGAAGAAGGAAGGAAGGAAGGAAGGAAGGAGGAAGGGAAGGAAGGAAGGAAGGAGGAAGGGAAGGGAGGAAGGGAAGGAAGGAAGAAGGAAGGAAGGAAGGAAGGAAGGAGGAAGGAAGGAAGGAAGGGAAGGAAGGAAGGAGGGAAGGAAGGAGGAAGGAAGGAGGAAGGGAAGGAAGGAAGGAGGAAGGGAAGGAAGGAAGAAGGAAGGAAGGGAAGGAAGGAGGAAGGAAGGAAGAAGGGAAGGGAGGGGAAGGAAGGAAGGAGGAAGGAAGGAAGGGAAGGAAGGAGGAAGGAAGGAAGAAGGAAGGAAGGGAAGGAAGGAAGGAAGGAAGAAGAAGGAAGGAAGGAAGGAAGGAAGGAAGAAGGAAGGAAGGGAGGGAAGGAAGGAAGGAUCCUCGGCAGAUGCACUGAGCCUGUCGGUCUUUGUGGUGCCGCAGCAACCACAAGGCCUCACGCCGGGCCGGCCCCAGAUUCGCCCUGCAGGACGUGGACGACGAGGUUUCUGCUCCACUGUCAACGCCCGAGCACGCGGCCCUCACAGGAGAAGCUCAGCGACCACCUGGCGGCACGGAGGGCUCAGACACGUCACCCCACCGGGAUUUCUAGAAGCCUUUGCGCUGGUGCGUUCACUCCCUUUUACAGAUGA